rnacentral:misc_RNA from 1 species
GAAAUGCGAUAAGUAAUGUGAAUUGCAGAAUUCAGUGAAUCAUCGAAUCUUUGAACGCACAUUGCGCCCGCCAGUAUUCUGGCGGGCAUGCCUGUCCGAGCGUCAUUUCGACCAUCAAGCCCCCGGGCUUGUGUUGGGGACCUGCGGCUGCCCGCAGGCCCUGAAAACCAGUGGCGGGCUCGCUGUCACACCGAGCGUAGUAGCAAUCACCUCGCUCAGGGCGUGCUGCGGGUUCCGGCCGUUAAACAGCCUUACAAAACCCAAGGUUGACCUCGGAUCAGGUAGGAAGACCCGCUGAACUUAAGC